AUUGAACGCUGGCGGCGUGCCUAACACAUGCAAGUCGAGCGGUAACAGGUGUAGCAAUACAUGCUGACGAGCGGCGGACGGGUGAGUAACGCUUGGGAAUCUGCCUGAUAGUGGGGGACAACCCGGGGAAACUCGGGCUAAUACCGCAUACGCACUACGGUGGAAAGCCGGGGACCGCAAGGCCUGGCGCUAUCAGAUGAGCCCAAGUCGGAUUAGCUAGUUGGUAGGGAACGGCCUACCAAGGCGACGAUCCGUAACUGGUCUGAGAGGACGACCAGUCACACCGGAACUGAGACACGGUCCGGACUCCUACGGGAGGCAGCAGUGGGGAAUAUUGGACAAUGGGCGAAAGCCUGAUCCAGCGACGCCGCGUGGGUGAAGAAGGCCUGCGGGUUGUAAAGCCCUUUCGGUGGGGAAGAAAAGCCUCGAGUUAAUACCUCGGGGUCUUGACGUAACCCAUAGAAGAAGCACCGGCUAACUCUGUGCCAGCCGCCGCAGUAAG
rnacentral:rRNA from 1 species